rfam:Gossypium raimondii chromosome 1, whole genome shotgun sequence.
CUUAAUAAAUUUUCAAAUCAAAUUUGACUUUAGGGAUAAUAGGUUAAUCUUCCCCAAGAACUUACAUCGAUGGGAAAGUUUAACACUUCGAUGUCGGCUCUUUACUACCUGAGUCUGUAGUAUGUUUCAAGGUUUGGGCUGUUCGCCCAUUAAAGUGAUAUAUAAGCUGAGUCUAGAAUGUUGUGAAACAAUUCGGUC